rnacentral:rRNA from 1 species
GAUGAACGCUGGCGGCGUGCCUAAUACAUGCAAGUCGAGCGAACGGACGAGAAGCUUGCUUUUCUGAUGUUAGCGGCGGACGGGUGAGUAACACGUGGAUAACCUACCUAUAAGACUGGGAUAAUUUCGGGAAACCGGAGCUAAUACCGGAUAAUAUUUUGAACCGCAUGGUUCAAAAGUGAAAGACGGUCUUGCUGUCACUUAUAGAUGGAUCCGCGCUGCAUUAGCUAGUUGGUAAGGUAACGGCUUACCAAGGCAACGAUGCAUAGCCGACCUGAGAGGGUGAUCCGCCACACUGGAACUGAGACACGGUCCAGACUCCUACGGGAGGCAGCAGUAGGGAAUCUUCCGCAAUGGGCGAAAGCCUGACGGAGCAACGCCGCGUGAGUGAUGAAGGUCUUCGGAUCGUAAAACUCUGUUAUUAGGGAAGAACAUAUGUGUAAGUAACUGUGCACAUCUUGACGGUACCUAAUCAGAAAGCCACGGCUAACUACGUG